UCGUUAUACAAACACCCCGGGGGGGCAGCGCUCGCCGCUCCCCCCCAAAUCAACGAACCCCGGCGCGGACUGCGCCAAGGAAUAAGAACAGAAGCGCGCCGCACGCCACCGGGGGUCUCCCGGUGCGCGGGCGGCGACGUGUCGUCUCGAUACUAACAGAACGACUCUCGGCAACGGAUAUCUCGGCUCUCGCAUCGAUGAAGAACGUAGCGAAAUGCGAUACUUGGUGUGAAUUGCAGAAUCCCGUGAACCAUCGAGUCUUUGAACGCAAGUUGCGCCCGAAGCCUUCGGGCCAAGGGCACGUCUGCCUGGGCGUCACGCACCGCGUCGCCCCCCACCCCUUCCAAGGAAGGGGCGUGGGGCGGAGAUUGGCCCCCCGUGCGCUCCCAGCUCGCGGUCGGCCUAAAUACGGACCCCGUGGCCGCGAAAUGCCGCGACGAUUGGUGGUGUCAAGCAUCGCGUCGCGUCUUCCGUGGCCCUCGGGUUUCAAAGGACCCUUUGCGACCCAGGUCAGGCGGGACUACCCGCUGAGUUUA
rnacentral:rRNA from 1 species